rnacentral:lncRNA from 1 species
GGGGCCCAUAUUCAGGGGCUAACUCUGCCAGCUGUGUGGUGAGAUGGAGCUGCCACCGCUUGAUCUGCUCAUCUGUAAUGAGGGAGUCUUAGAAGCUUCGCUCACCACAGUGAACUGUUGUAGGACUUAAAGGGAAGUGUCUACAAGGCACGCUGGGAACUGAAAAGGCCUUUCUGUAGAAUGAAACAACAUUUUCAAAACUCAUGAUUUAAGCCACAUUUCAGUUCUUGGCAGAUGGAACAGACCAACAGAUUCAUGUGCCGGACGCUUGGGAUGAAGCCACAAAUCCUGUAUGUUUCUCUAUUUCAUAGAAGAAGCUUUUCCAUUACAAAGAGGCUUGCUGUCAAAGCAAUAUGACCACCUAGCUGGCUAUUCAUUCUGCCAAUCUGACUUCCUUGCCGUGAUGUGAUAAAUCCUCAUGAAUUGCAAACUAGAAGAAACCCUUCAUUCCUUCUUUAAA